rnacentral:rRNA from 1 species
GUCCAGACUCCUACGGGAGGCAGCAGUGGGGAAUAUUGGACAAUGGGGGGAACCCUGAUCCAGCGACGCCGCGUGAGUGAAGAAGUAUUUCGGUAUGUAAAGCUCUAUCAGCAGGGAAGAAAAUGACGGUACCUGACUAAGAAGCCCCGGCUAACUACGUGCCAGCAGCCGCGGUAAUACGUAGGGGGCAAGCGUUAUCCGGAUUUACUGGGUGUAAAGGGAGCGUAGACGGCAUGGCAAGUCAGAUGUGAAAGCCCGGGGCUCAACCCCGGGACUGCAUUUGAAACUGUCAGGCUGGAGUGCAGGAGAGGUAAGUGGAAUUCCUAGUGUAGCGGUGAAAUGCGUAGAUAUUAGGAGGAACACCAGUGGCGAAGGCGGCUUACUGGACUGUAACUGACGUUGAGGCUCGAAAGCGUGGGGAGCAAACAGGAUUAGAUACCCCAGUA